rnacentral:lncRNA from 1 species
UGAGAAACAAAAAAGAAAACGAGCCUUAAGUAAGUAUCCUCAUCGGCUGUCACGUAAAGGGUACGCUGGAUUGGAGGAAGAACUGUCUGCAACUAUGGAUGAAGCUGAACUUGAUCGUGCAACCAUGUGGAUCAAAGCACGUCAAGAUAAGAAUGGAGGAUUUAAAGAUCCUUUAGUAGAGGAGAAGGCCAAAGAAAUUGUAAGCUGAUUUGAAGAAAAAAGAGGCUGAGGGAGAGUUAAGCACUUCUGGUUC